rnacentral:lncRNA from 1 species
GAAGGAUUCUGAUUGGUCCUGCUUCAGUCACAUGCUUGCAUCUUAGUCCAAUCACUGUGGCCUGGAGGAUGGGACACCAUGAUUUGCAAGACUCUGGUCACAUGCCCACACCUGUGGCUUCUGAAGCAGAGCACCAGCAGUGACAGUCCCACCAGAACCGCAUGGAAUAGAAAACUGUGCAUUUCCCUAAGGAAAGGGAAUGCCAGAGAAGGGCAGAAGGGAAAUCAGGAAGACAAAACGUGUCUUCAUGUUGGAGUGGACCUUUCCUCUAUCUGUCAACAGAAUGGAUAAAUUGUGGAAGAGUAAUAUCAGAAUACUACACAUCAGUAAAAAACAACAAACUUCUGCUACAAACAAUCAACAUCGAUGAAUCUUUCAGGCAAAAGGGUUAAUGCCUACAAUAAGUGUUCUUGAAAUACAGUCACGCGUUGCUUAACCAUGGGGAUAUAUUCUGAUAAAUUCAUCAUUAG